GACGAACGCUGGCGGCGUGCCUAAUACAUGCAAGUUGAGCGCUGAAGGUUGGUACUUGUACCGACUGGAUGAGCAGCGAACGGGUGAGUAACGCGUGGGGAAUCUGCCUUUGAGCGGGGGACAACAUUUGGAAACGAAUGCUAAUACCGCAUAAAAACUUUAAACACAAGUUUUAAGUUUGAAAGAUGCAAUUGCAUCACUCAAAGAUGAUCCCGCGUUGUAUUAGCUAGUUGGCGAGGUAAAGGCUCACCAAGGCGAUGAUACAUAGCCGACCUGAGAGGGUGAUCGGCCACAUUGGGACUGAGACACGGCCCAAACUCCUACGGGAGGCAGCAGUAGGGAAUCUUCGGCAAUAGACGAAAGUCUGACCGAGCAACGCCGCGUGAGUGAAGAAGGUUUUCGGAUCGUAAAACUCUGUUGGUAGAGAAGAACGUUGGUGAGAGUGGAAAGCUCAUCAAGUGACGGUAACUACCCAGAAAGGGACGGCUAACUACGUG
rnacentral:rRNA from 1 species